ACAGAGGGGGCAAGCGUUGUUCGGAAUUACUGGGCGUAAAGGGCGCGUAGGCGGCCUGCUAAGUCGAACGUGAAAUCCCUGGGCUCAACCCAGGAACUGCGUCCGAUACUGGUUGGCUUGAAUCCGGGAGAGGGACGUGGAAUUCCAGGUGUAGCGGUGAAAUGCGUAGAUAUCUGGAGGAACACCGGUGGCGAAGGCGGCUCACUGGACUGGUACUGACGCUGAGGCGCGAAAGCGUGGGGAGCAAACAGGA
rnacentral:rRNA from 1 species